rnacentral:lncRNA from 1 species
AGAAUAUGUUGAAGAUUUCAUCCCUUGCCAAAGAGGAGGAGAAGGUAUACAUUUUCUGUGAUUUGAUUGUGCUAGACUGGAGAUCCAGAUGGCCACAGGCAUCUGAAAUGAUACAUUAUUCCUUUCCCUGCAGGUGCUUCUAACUACUAAGGCAGCAGCAGGUAUGAACUCAGAUGGACACUAGGUUUGUGGGUUUUUUCACAGAGGCAACACAACGUGCUCAUGACUAGUGGUGACGCUCAGCAAAUUUAUGUUGAAAUGUAGCUUGUUUUCAAUAAUGAAAAAAUGCCUGCAGCAGUUGCUCAUGAAUUAUUGGAUUCCAGAGCAAAGUUUCUCUCCUUUACCUGCGUUGGUAGCCAUGGAAAUGGUUUCAUAAAUGAUGCCAACUUCCUACAGUCCAGGGAGGUGUCAGUAUCAGCGUGUCCACUAGCCAUUGAAACCGGACAUAGUCGCCAAAUGAGAUUAUUCUGUGAUGAAUAUGGAAGUCUCAGCUGCCUUAUCAAUGGAUCUACUUUCUUAAAGGGGAGAGAGAAGAGUGCUCCUUUGGAAGAAAAGGACCAAAGACUGUGACAUGUAUAACAUUUUAAUCAGCAGUGAAAUGAAAGAAGAGCAUCAGACACAAAUGUCAAGAAAUUUUGACUAGUGUAUUACAGAUGGAGACAGAUGGAAAGACAGACGUACACUAUUCUUUCCAAGAAAAUGAUGCGGAAAAGCAGGAAGUAUUAAAAAAUUCUGGCAC